rnacentral:lncRNA from 1 species
AUACAUAUUCUAGACUUGACAAAUCCGGAUACAAGUAUUAACGUCGAGUUAUAGUGGGUCAUGCACUUAUGGUGGUUUCUAUCCCUCUGCAAGCCAUUAUCAAUGGGUUUCACCCUACCACACACACAAGGUUAGUCUGUUAUACCUCUUAGGCCAAGAUGGAGCACCGAGACUGGGACCUUCUACUACUCCUCACCACAUAAUCCCCUUCUCUAUCUGAGAUGAAACGAUUAUUUGAGCGUCAAGAUAACUCCUAAGACUGAGCUUCCUACAUCAACACCUAUACUAUAGGGAACGCCAUGGAAUCUCUCCACGAGAGUCAUGUAAUUACG